ACGGGGUGCAGCAGGCGCGAAACCUUUGCAAUGUGCGCAAGCACGACAAGGUUAAUCCGAGUGUUUCCUGCUAAAGGAAUCUUUUGUUAGUUGUAAAACCACUAUCGAAUAAGGGGUGGGCAAGUUCUGGUGUCAGCCGCCGCGGUAAAACCAGCACCUCAAGUGGUCAGGAGGAUUAUUGGGCCUAAAGCAUCCGUAGCCUGUUCUAUAAGUUUCCGGUUAAAUCCAUUAGCUCAACUAAUGGGCCGCCGAAAAUACUGUAGAACUAGGGAGUGGGAGAGGUAGACGGUAUUCGGUAGGAAGGGGUAAAAUCCUUUGAUCUAUUGAGGACCACCUGUGGCGAAGGCGGUCUACCAGAACACGUUCGACGGUGAGGGAUGAAAGCUGGGGGAGCAAACCGGAUUAGAUACCCGGGUAGUCCCAGCCGUAAACGAUGCAGACUCGGUGAUGCGCUGGCUUGUGGCCAGUGCAGUGCCGCAGGGAAGCCGUUAAGUUUGCCGCCUGGGAAGUACGUACGCAAGUAUGAAACUUAAAGGAAUUGGCGGGGGAGCACCACAAGGGGUGAAGCCUGCGGUUCAAUUGGAGUCAACGCCGG
rnacentral:rRNA from 1 species